rnacentral:rRNA from 1 species
GAUGAACGCUGCCAGAAUGCUUAACACAUGCCAGUCAUUGGCGAAGCUGCGCUUGCGCAGUCUAGCCAAGGCGGACGGGUGAGUAACGCGUAAGGAACUUGCCCUGCAGACAGGGAUAACAGACGGAAACGACUGAUAACACCUGGUAUUGUCAGGCUGGCGCAUGCCGGCCUGAUGAAAGGAGACGCUGCAGGAGAGCCUUGCGUCCUAUUAGCUAGUUGGUGGGGUAACGGCCCACCAAGGCGAUGAUAGGUAGCCGGCCUGAGAGGGUGAACGGCCACAAGGGGACUGAGAUACGGCCCUUACUCCUACGGGAGGCAGCAGUGGGGAAUAUUGGACAAUGGGGGCAACCCUGAUCCAGCAAUUCUGUGUGCACGAAGAAGGUUUUCGGAUUGUAAAGUGCUUUCAGCAGGGAAGAAGAAAGUGACGGUACCUGCAGAAGAAGCGACGGCUAAAUACGUG